CCUACGGGAGGCUGCAGUGAGGAAUAUUGGUCAAUGGACGAAAGUCUGAACCAGCCAAGUAGCGUGAAGGAUGACUGCCCUAUGGGUUGUAAACUUCUUUUAUAUGGGAAUAAAAUGUUCCACGUGUGGGAUUUUGUAUGUACCAUAUGAAUAAGGAUCGGCUAACUCCGUGCCAGCAGCCGCGGUAAUACGGAGGAUCCGAGCGUUAUCCGGAUUUAUUGGGGUUAAAGGGAGCGUAGGUGGAUUGUUAAGUCAGGUGUGAAAGUUUGGGGCUCAACCGUAAAAUUGCAGUUGAAACUGGCAGUCUUGAGUACAGUAGAGGUAGGCGGAAUGCGGGGUGUAGCGGUGAAAUGCUUAGAUAUCACGAAGAACUCCGAUUGCGAAGGCAGCUUACUGGACUGCAACUGACACUGAGGCUCGAAAGUGUGGGUAUCAAACAGGAUUAGAUACCCUUGUAGUC
rnacentral:rRNA from 1 species